rnacentral:rRNA from 1 species
UACGUAGGGUGCAAGCGUUAAUCGGAAUUACUGGACGUAAAGCGUGCGCAGGCGGUUUGUAAGUCAGAUGUGAAAUCCCCGGGCUUAACCUGGGAACUGCGUUUGAAACUACAAGGCUAGAGUGUGGCAGAGGGGGGUGGAAUUCCACGUGUAGCAGUGAAAUGCGUAGAGAUGUGGAGGAACACCGAUGGCGAAGGCAGCCCCCUGGGUUAACACUGACGCUCAGGCACGAAAGCGUGGGGAGCAAACAGG